rnacentral:tRNA from 1 species
GGUUAUAGCUCAGUUGGUAGAGCACUUGCCUAGUACGUGUGAGGCAUUGGGUUUGAUUCUCAGCACCA